rnacentral:rRNA from 1 species
UCGUAAGGUACUGCGGAGACAUU